AGAAAAGGUGGGGGGAAUGGGUAUUUGUUCUAGAAGACCCCCCAAAUGACUUAACUUCCUUCAUAACUAUGCCACAUCCAGUCUGGACCUUGCUGCCAGUGGAGUGGGAUCCCCAUGACUUUCUUAGGACUUGAAAUGGAGAACGUGGCCACCUAGGGAAAGAGCUGUAACAGUCAGGUCUGUUGUGACAUGUGUGUGCUCAGCUGCUUCUGACUCUUUGUGACCCCACGGACUUCAGCCCAUCAGGCUCCUCUGUCCAUGGGAUUCGCCAGGCAAGAGUACUGGUCACCAUUUCCCUCUCCAGGGGAUCUUCCCGACCCAGGGAUCGAACCAGCCAUCUCCUGUGUCUCCUGCAUUGGCCCAGCAUGGGUUAUGGCGCCAGGAUUCGACCCCAAAGUCAGUGACUCGGCACUAAAACAUCUACUGCUGUCAAAAUCCAUGGUGGAGCCAGCGCUCUGGUCUCUGGGAGUGAGGGAGGGGCCUGGAGCUCUCGGACCCAGGCAAGGGAUAGAUGAUCUGGUCUACAGAAGCGGUCUGAUGAAACCAAUGGACGGAAAGUGGGGCAAACUAUUCAGAGACCCAGCACAUCCUGCGCCCUUAGAGACAACGUGAGGCCCUGUCAACUGAAGGAAGAAAAGGCAAGGAGGAAGCUGGGGGUUCAGGGCAGGCGCAGCCUUCUACCUGUGCCCCUCCUGAGU
ensembl:lncRNA